rnacentral:rRNA from 1 species
UACGGGGGGGGCAAGCGUUGUUCGGAAUUACUGGGCGUAAAGGGCGCGUAGGCGGUCUGCUAAGUUGGAUGUGAAAACUCUGGGCUUAACCCAGAGCCUGCAUUCAAUACUGACAGGCUAGAGUUCUGGAGGGGAUAGCGGAAUUCCUGGUGUAGCGGUGGAAUGCGCAGAUAUCAGGAGGAACACCGAUGGCGAAGGCAGUUCUCUGGGCCGUAACUGACGCUGAGGAGCGAAAGCGUGGGGAGCAAACGGG